rnacentral:misc_RNA from 1 species
GUAGGUGAACCUGCGGAAGGAUCAUUAACACGUAUCCAAACGUUAAACCCCCUGUGAACCUUCAUUGUUGCUCGCACAUUCCGUUAGAAAACAGUUAAGGCCUGGUAAAUCAUUGCCGAUCUUCAAUUGCUUGCUGAUUGAGGCCUUCUCAGUGAGGAGUGUGUUUGUAGCGCGAGGCAAGUGGCCUGGCAUUCCUCUGCUCAGUCAAUGUCUGAAAGUGUCAUUGGCCCUGUCACGAAUGACGCAGUAACGAUCACUAGAGGCCGACACGGCCGGUGACCGGGCCGCUGGGUUUUUACCCCUUCGUCACCCCAUUGCAUGAAAACGGGGCUGCGCUUAAUUGUGCGCCCACCAAACUUGAACAACUGUUAACAAUGGAUAUCUUGGUUCUC